CUUACUCAAUUGUGAGCCUCUCUCCUAAUUGUGUCUCACAGAUGCAUAGUGAGGAGGUUAUUCAGCUUGUAUUUACAUCAUUACCCAUCUACCAUCAGAGUGUAUUGCUAACUGGUUCUCCUUACAAAUGCUUGUUGUGUUUGUUUUGUGUUUUUAAUUUUAUGUUCCACUGCUUGUCUACUUUUUCAUUGUUUUUAAUCCAAACUUCUACUUCAGCCUCUGCUCAUGAAGUCUCCCUCUCCCGAGUCCUUUGGGCUGCAAUAAUCAGACUCAAGCUGAGUGGAGACACACACUGAACAGAUGACAUGCCAGCCAAACUUGCCCCAAAAGUUGGGGAGGGAAAUGGUGCUCAACUGAAGGCAGCUGCUCUUGGGAGAGUCUUGACAGAGACCUCUGCAGCGAUAGUGCCUGGCAUCAGUGAUUGACGGGGAGCCAUCUGAUCAACUUUUGUUUCUGAAGGAAAACCCUGAGGAAACUCACUACCAUCCUCAGUGGCUGGUGGAUGGAUAAAGAGGUGGAAAGCAAGUUGGUAAGACUGCGGAUGGUCUUUCUUUUUCUCUUUCUUUUCCUUGUUUCCUCUCUCUUUUUUUCUCUUUCUUUCUUUCUUUUCUUUCUUUCUCUGUCUCUCGCUCUGUCUUUCUUUCUUUUCUUUUCUUUUUUUUGACAGAGUCUCACUCUGUUGCCCAGGCUGGAGUGCAGUGCUGCAAUUCAGGCUGACUGCAACCUCUGCCUCCCGGGUUUAAGCGAUUCUCCUGCCUCAGCCUCCUGAGUAGCUGGGACUAUAGGCGCCCACCACCAUGCCCAGCUCAUGUUUGUAUUUUUAGUAGAAAUGAGACUUCGUCAUGUUGGCCAGGCUGGUCUCAAACUCCUGACCUCAAGUGAUCCCCCCGCCUCGGCCUCCCAAAGUGCUGGGAUUACAGGUGUGAGUCACCGUGCCCAGCCAGAUGGUCUUUCUAACCAAACAACAGGGUAGCUGCAGGUCUCAGACCUUCUGUUUCUGCUUAACUGGUUGUAAAGAAUAUUCAUAUUGGUGGAACGAGAGGAAUGAGAAGGGUGGCUGUUUGCUUUCUGUGUGUGUAACAGAGAUGUAGAUGGUGGCUGUGUUACAUGAGAGAGGCCCAGAGGGCAGGAGAGAAGGAAGUGUCCAUGCUCACUAUUGCAAUUUAGUGUCUUAAGAUUCGUAUUUUGUUAAUUAUUUUGCUUGGUGAAAGUGACUUAACAUGUUUGAGCCAUAAGAAGAGACAACCAGAAAUGUGAUAAAGCCAAGAAAACUAUAGCAAAUGAUACUCUUGUGACAAGUCCUCCCCAUAAUGCCACACUGUUUUCCUCAAAUCCCCUCAAAGCACAUGGCAAAAGACAAAACUCCUGUCAACAAUUUCAGCUGCAAGUGAGAAUGAGAGGUUGGGAAAAUUUAUACAAUAGUAUGGUUCUCUCAGUUGUAUUCUUUGGUUAAAAUAUUGUCUUAAACUUCAACAGGCCACACUGUUUGUUUCAGUGUGGUUGAGAAAGAUGAAAAAUCAAAGCCAUUUCCUUUUACAAAAGCUUUCUGGAGGGCUGCUGAGGGUUACUUACCUUUGGGGGUGGCCCUUUGAAGGGAGACUGAGGAAGUGUAAUGGAAGGAACCAUGUGAGCAUUGGCCUGUCUGAGAAGUUAUCCAUGCUUUCCCUACAACCCCUCACCUGCAAGACGCCUCUAAGAGCUAUAAAAUCUUUCCCUCCCUUCUCUCCAACAGUCACAGACAGAGAUUGGCACUUCCUACAAGGCAGGCUUUCCAUCAUGUAGUUUGUAGAUUGUGUAAGUGGUUCUGAGAUGUGAAAUGCUCUAAAUCUCAUUUCCCCAUCAUUUUCCAAAAGUAUUUUUCUAGGUGAGAUUUCUAUCUCAUAGAUGGCAUUGAUAUCUCAAUGCAAGGACAGGAGCAACUCAUGCUGCCUGCUUUGACCACCCUCCCCCACACUUCAUCACCAUCCCUGCCUAACCCCUGGAGCAACUGUCCCUAAAGGGCCAUGGUGGUGGGGCCCCUGGCCUCAGAGCCUCCCCGCGUCCCCAGGCAGCUGUGGCAGAGCCCUGAACAUCACUCCUUCGGUGAUCCUUGGUCUCUCCUUCUCACCUGUAUGGGAAAAGAGACUUGGGCUGAGAAAUGCAUUCAGAUUUUUUCUGGCCUGUGGACUGUUUUCUUUCUAUGGUCUGAGUGUGUAGAGUGAGCAGAAACUAUGAAGAGCCAUGAGCAGUUCCGGGGGAGCAGCUGCGAGCAUCAUGGAAGGCCUCUGCCCUGUCGGAGAAGCCGGGAUCCUCUUCAGCUUGGACACUACAUCAGUGACACUGGCAUCUCCCCCAUGCCAGAGGGAACUGCACAAGACACUUCAUUCUCUUUAAUCUGCUCUACCCCGUCAUAUACCAUUGUUUAUGAUGCUAACAAUUAUGAUGGUGCAAUAGCACACUCAGUGACUCAUCAGCUCCCGCCUUCCAGAGGCACUCAGCUCUCACAUACGCGAGUUUCUGAUCCAGCAGCUCUGGGAUGAGGCCCAGGAAUCUGAAUUUCUAGGGGCUUCUCAGAUGAGGAUGAAGUUGUCGAUGUGGAGAACAUACUUUGAAAACCAUUGAGAAGAUGCCGAUCCUGCCAAUGCCAGCAGUCCUACUCUGCUGCUUCUCCACCCUAAACAUCGUAUUUUUUAAAGAGAAUCAGUUUGAUGAAUGACAUGUUAUUAGCAUUCUUGAUAUUCCUAACUACUAAUUCUUUCAGAGUACCUGCAUGUCUGGAUCCAGCCGUGACUACCAACUAAUAAAUAAUAAAGCCACUAGUUUCCUCUCUUCCUCUCUCCUACAUUCCCUACAUGGCAUUGAUCCUAAAAUGGCUACCUUCACAUCACCCAGGGAAAAAAAGGAAUUUAGGCACAAACAUAAGAAAACAUUUGAUAAAAAUAUUACUUUUGUAAUUUAGUAACCUAGUGAGAUAGAAAAACAUAUUUUAUCUGUUUCAAAAGUUGAAUUUCAUCAGCGUAUGGCAUAUGCUUCAUUAUACUGGUUAGUGAUGUCUGUUACAAACAAGGUUCCCAAAUGCCAUGCCAGCUUGCAUAGUUCUGAGAAAGAGGUCCAAAUAUAUUCCAUUGCAUUUCCCAAUUAAAAUUGUUCAUUUUGGAGUGAAGUUGUAAGAAUGAUUGUCCAGGCAGCCCACUCUUUUAUUUAUAGUCCUUUCAAAUUAAAUCUGAAGGCAUUUCACUGAUGAUUUGAUUCUGAUUUUUUUUUUAUGUUUCUCACAUUCAAUAAAUGUCAAAUUGCUGGACAGCCCCGACUCUAUCUUACUUAACUUUAAUUCUCCAGAUUCUAGCAUAUGCCUGGCACAUAGUAGGUGCUUAAUUCAUUUUUUGUCAAUUAAAGGGAGUAUGGGUGAUACUUUUACAAUUGAAUUAUGACCAUCCUGAGGGGACUUUUCCCAUAUGAUCCACUGCUUUAUAGUCUGCCAUAUAACCAAUCAGACCCCAAACCUUCAACAAAAAGCAGAACUAUAGACAAAGCCACCCAUCGGGGCAUGAGUGGUGUUGGGAUUACAUUAGUCAAUUGGAUUGAGC
rnacentral:lncRNA from 1 species